rfam:Camelus ferus unplaced genomic scaffold scaffold1525, whole genome shotgun sequence.
GAGGUUAUAGCUCAAGUGGUAGAGCGCAUGCUUAGCAUGCACAAGGUCCUGGGUUCAAUACCCAGUAUCUCCU